UGGCUCAGGGUGAACGCUGGCGGCGUGCUUGACACAUGCAAGUCGAACGGUAUGUGGCAACACAUAGAGUGGCGAACGGGUGAGUAACACGUGGGAACGUACCAUCUGCAGGGGGAUAACUGACCGAAAGGACAGCUAAUACCGCAUAAGUCCGGAAGGAGAAAGGUGCAAUAGCAUCGGCAGAAGAGCGGCCCGCGGUCCAUCAGCUAGUUGGUGAGGUAAGGGCUUACCAAGGCGACGACGGAUAGCCGGCGUGAGAGCGUGGCCGGCCACAAGGACACUGAGAUACGGGUCCUACUCCUACGGGAGGCAGCAGUGCGGAAUUUUAGAUAAUGGAGGGAACUCUGAUCUAGCGACGCCGCGUGCAGGAAGAAGGUCUUCGGAUUGUAAACUGCUGUGGUAAGGGAAAAAUGCUAUGUAGAGUGGAAAGCUACAUAGAGGGAUGGUACCUUACUAGAAAGCCCCGGCUAACUACGUGCCAGCAGCCGCGGUAAUACGUAGGGGGCGAGCGUUACCCGGAAUCACUGGGCGUAAAGGGAGCGUAGGUGGCCUAACAUGUCAACUGUGAAAACCCGGAGCUCAACUCCGGACUUGCAGUUGAAACUGGUAGGCUUGAGGACGGUAGAGGAAGACGGAACUGCCAGUGUANGGGUAAAAUCCUUAGAUAUUGGCAGGAACGCCGGUGACGAAGGUGGUUUUCUGGGCCGGUUCUGACACUGAUGCUCGAAAGCCANGGGAGCGAACGGGAUUAGAUNCCCCGGUAGUCC
rnacentral:rRNA from 1 species